rnacentral:rRNA from 1 species
AUUGAACGCUGGCGGCAGGCCUAACACAUGCAAGUCGAGCGGAGCGGCGGACGGGUGAGUAAUGCCUAGGAAUCUGCCUGGUAGUGGGGGAUAACGUCCGGAAACGGGCGCUAAUACCGCAUACCAUCGGAUGUGCCCAGAUGGGAUUAGCUUGUAGGUGAGGUAACGGCCUACCAAGGCGACGCUCCGUACCUGGUCUGAGAGGAUGAUCAGUCACACUGGAACUGAGACACGGUCCAGACUCCUACGGGAGGCAGCAGUGGGGAAUAUUGGACAAUGGGCGAAAGCCUGAUCCAGCCAUGCCGCGUGUGUGAAGAAGGUCUUCGGAUUGUAAAGCACUUUAAGUUGGGAGGCGUUACCAACAGAAUAAGCACCGGCUAACUUCGUGCCAGCAGCCGCGGUAAUAC